AUUAACUCGUAACGCAGCUGCAGCGAAUCUCUUCAGUCCUGCCUGUGAAGCUCGCUCAAGGCAACAGCAGUGCGAAACUUCCUACAAGCUUGUUUUCAACGAAAAGGAAAGCCUAAUGAAGCUGAAAAAAUCCCAGUUCGUCCUUACUGGCUGCCUGCUAUUGGUGUUGACACCCUUCGCAACGGGUGCAUUGGAAAGGAUGUCAAGUCCAAUUCCGCAAUCAUCGAAACUUGGAAAUACUUCGAAAUGCAAGUGGCCAGGAGAAAAGUGCUUCGAAACAUCCGACUGCUGUGGAGCAGGGCUCUGUGAGAAAAGCAUGUGCUCUUACAACCCGUACGCUGACUACUAAGAGCCUGCGUGGAGAGCCGAUGACCACGUGACUUGAGAACGCUGAAACGAGGCCGGAUCUCCACCGCACAAAGCAGGGACGACUGACGGCUCACUUCAUGCGAAACUACAAUUUUCCUGUGGUCCAAUGCAAACAGGCAACAGCAUGCGCGUUCGAAUAAAUCAAAUUCAUUUCUGGA